CGGCUCAGAACGAACGCUGGCGGCAGGCUUAACACAUGCAAGUCGAGCGCCCCGCAAGGGGAGCGGCAGACGGGUGAGUAACGCGUGGGAAUCUACCCAUCUCUACGGAAUAACGCAUGGAAACGUGUGCUAAUACCGUAUACGUCCUUCGGGAGAAAGAUUUAUCGGAGAUGGAUGAGCCCGCGUUGGAUUAGCUAGUUGGUGGGGUAAAGGCCUACCAAGGCGACGAUCCAUAGCUGGUCUGAGAGGAUGAUCAGCCACACUGGGACUGAGACACGGCCCAGACUCCUACGGGAGGCAGCAGUGGGGAAUAUUGGACAAUGGGCGCAAGCCUGAUCCAGCCAUGCCGCGUGAGUGAUGAAGGCCCUAGGGUUGUAAAGCUCUUUCACCGGUGAAGAUAAUGACGGUAACCGGAGAAGAAGCCCCGGCUAACUUCGUGCCAGCAGCCGCGGUAAUACGAAGGGGGCUAGCGUUGUUCGGAUUUACUGGGCGUAAAGCGCACGUAGGCGGACUAUUAAGUCAGGGGUGAAAUCCCGGGGCUCAACCCCGGAACUGCCUUUGAUACUGGUAGUCUUGAGUUCGAGAGAGGUGAGUGGAAUUCCGAGUGUAGAGGUGAAAUUCG
rnacentral:rRNA from 1 species